UGGAGAACCAUCACUUUGGUAUCUAUUAGUAUUAUUUGGGUUUCUACUCAAUGAUCCAGAAUUGACGUGGGCUAUGUCUGAGUGCAGAUAUACAGAGGAAAACCACAAGGCCGCAGUGGUCAAAUUCCAGCGUUCGGGAACUGGGAUCAAGUCAAGGAGCUUCCCAUCACUCAAUAUUUCGAAAAUGCUAGACAAGCAGGCUUAAAACCUAGUCAUUCCCGUGAAUUUGGUGAUCAUUAUGUUGCUGCGCCAAGUAGGAAUCACCCUCCUCAUCUUCCUUACACAAAGCCAAACUCAGCUACUCAACCGAGCGCUUAUGUACAGAAGGGGAAUCCUACCAUCAAGACCUAUUCACAUUUUCUGGCACAUGAGAAGAAAUCAGAGAAGAAUUCUUACAAGGGUAGACAGAAGAGGCCUAAUCAGCUUCAGACCCAAAAUAUAUCCAGUGCUGUUGUUUCUGUUUCUCACCGCAGAAUUCCACCCAUCACUAAACCUGUGGACGAAGAUUUGUAUCAAGUUCCUUCCGAAGCCCUACAAAAUUCCAAGAGAAAGAAGUUGUUUGGAUUCUUUUCAAGAUGUUUUAUGCCACAUACGAGAUAGUUUAUAUUUUAGAAGAUGCAGGUGCUUCUGAAGCGAGCCCUACAAAACAGGAUUCCAAGGCUAACUGAAUUUUCCCAAAGGACAUCCAGUAGUAUAUUACAAUCUUAAAGGAAUGAAAGAAAUCUUUACAGCUAGUCUAAGUUGCUCUAGCAUUGGUUAAAAUGUAGAAUGUAGAAUUGCAAAAAUGCAAUACAGUUAUACGUGUAUAACAACAUCUGAUGAUUGGAAAGCAAAAACCUCUUUAGUUAUACAGCGGCAGGCAAUCUGGGAGUAUUGACAUUCGACCCCAUAGGUAAUAAAAUUCGACUUCUUACCAGGGAAUGCAGUAUCUUUCCCUAUUCAUUAUUGUCCAAACAAACGAACUCUGGAUUUGAUCUCGGUAAAAGCUAAAUAGGAAGAAUCAUUCUGGAAACCGUUCAAGACUAUGCCUUGGUUGGAACUCCCUUUUGAAGACCCAAGAACAGACCCAGAUUAUAAGAAGUUGAAGCGGAUAUUCCAGUAUUCCAGACUAACGUAUCGUCAAUAUCAGGAUAAGUAGCCAGUCUUGUGAUUUUUGGACCUGGUGGCGAAUUUAUUGAUCCCUUUGGGGCCAAAAUUGUGAACUUAUUUGGGUUUCAAGAAUACCAUUCACCUGUGCACAAAUUGUAAAAUUAGAGAUUGAGAAAACAAAGGAUAUGAGAUUGUAGAUGCUAUGGAAUCAAAACACGGUGUUUACAGGAUAUGAUGGGUCCAAGGUGUCAUUCUCUCAACUUUACAGGAAAAGAGUGAUAGUAUUUCUGGAGAGGUAUAGGUUAGAGUUAGACUCAGCAGAUAUCGGUUCCUUAAGAUGUUAAAGAAAAUGUAUCUCCAAUGGAAGGGUACAAGUGGAGAGUUUGAAGUUAUUCACAUAGUUGAAAGAGAGGAAUCAUCAUCAGCCCCAAAAAAGUUAGUGGACUUAUUUAUGUGUCCUAGUUAUUAGUCCCAAUGAUUUAGGACAU